ACCCUACGGGACGCAGCAGUGGGGAAUAUUGCACAAUGGGGGAAACCCUGAUGCAGCAACGCCGCGCGAGUGAAGAAGUAUUUCGGUAUGUAAAGCUCUAUCAGCAGGGAAGAAGAAAGACGGUACCUGACUAAGAAGCCCCGGCUAACUACGUGCCAGCAGCCGCGGUAAUACGUAGGGGGCAAGCGUUAUCCGGAUUUACUGGGUGUAAAGGGAGCGUAGGCGGCAUAGCAAGUCUGAAGUGAAAGCCCGUGGCUCA
rnacentral:rRNA from 1 species